UGAACUGUGAAGUGACUAGCU
rnacentral:piRNA from 1 species